CGAAAGUAGAAAGAAUCCAGCCUUACGGAACACAAACUCAUGUGCUGUGCUUUAGUCUUUGCGCAUGUCUGCUAGGCACC
ensembl:ncRNA R166.11 ncRNA